UCAGAGUGCACAGUUUGCUGAAGAUUCCAAACAAACACAAUGGAUGAAGGCAGAGUCAGGGGAAGAGGAAUUCAAGUCAGAGGAGGGAGAAGAGCUGGCCAUGGAAGAAGAGGAGCAGGCCAACAAGGGAGAGGAGAAGGUCCAGGAGGGAGAGCAAGACAACCUCGCACCAUCAUUACGGACGAGAUGCGAGCAACAGUCAUUGACCAUGUCAUUGUCCAUGGCAUGACAAUGGCUGAAGCAGGACUAAGAGUCCGUCCAAACCUGAGUAGGUUCACCGUGGCCACCAUUAUCAGGGCAUUCAGACAACACAACAGAGUUGAAAGAAUGCCACAUAGAGGUGGGAGGGUUGCCAUAUUUACAGCGGCACAAGAAACCCUCAUUGUGGAUAUGGUUCGUGAGAACAACCUCCAUCAGACUCCGGGAGAUCAGAGACAAAGUCAUUGCCGAUAAUGUCAACUUUGAGAGCAUUGAUGUCAGCUUGGCCACAAUAGACCGAGUUCUCCGGCGCCAAAAGAUGCGGAUGAAACGGGUCUAUAGGGUUCCCUUUGAGCGCAACUCUGCGUGACACAAAGACCUACGUUACGAGUAUGUGCAAAGGAUAUUACAGUUGGACGCGAUGGCCAGACCUCAUGAGUACAUCUUCCUGGAUGAGGCUGGCUUCAACCUGCAGAAACGAAGGCAAAGAGGCCGUAACAUCAUUGGCCAAAGAGCCAUCACUGAGGUUCCUGGCCAACGGGGGGGUAAUUCUGCCAUUACAGUUUUUUUUUUUACAAUCAUUUUUUCACUAA